rnacentral:misc_RNA from 1 species
AACAUCGCGCACCUGCGGGAACCUGCGGAGGGAUCAUUACAGAGUUCGUGCCCUCGCGGGUAGAUCUCCCACCCUUGUGUAUUUUCUACAUCUUGUUGCUUUGGCAGGCCGUUGGUUCGCCAACCACCGGCUCGCGGGCUGGUGCGUGCCUGCCAGAGGACCUCUCAAACUCGGUUUGUUAGUGUCGUCUGAGUACCAUAACAAUCGUUAAAACUUUCAACAACGGAUCUCAGAUCGGAA